ensembl:lncRNA
GCAACUUACAGGAGUAGCAGCUCGCCGACAGCUGUAGAACAGAUCCAUGAAAUCAGCGGCCGAUGCAGACAGGAGUUCAGAUUUGGCGUCACCUGGGUGGCCACACAGUUACAGGCUCUCCGUGCAACUCCCCAUCACUGGGUCCCGGAGCUCCAGGUAUGGAAAACACACGGGCAUCUAUCUCAGGUUUUUGGAGAGAGUGCAUUGGAGGCAUUAUUUUCCUUCUAAAAUACAAUAGUGCUUUGGCACCGCCACAUUCCUUUAAAAGUGCAUUUAUAUGUAACUCACUGCAUGAAUAAACACCAUUACACAUUAUCCAGCUGCGACUUCUACUUCAGGCUUAUUUGGAUUUUGUGAAGGAACCUCUGCUGAACAUCAUCCAUAAUAUAUGACGGGAUUUUGCCAUCAGUCUAAUGGGGGUAAACCGAGAGAUUUGGAAUGGGAAACGUAUUAGAGAGAAUCCAGGAAAGACCAAAAACCUUUAGAGGUGUGAGAACCUGAAUCACCUUUCAACUCCACAUCCAUCCAUCCAGUGAAGUGUUAUUCAAGCCAGGGUGAGCGGGACUGUGACACCCCUGUAAAUGAAGGUCAGCUGAGCGGUUUGAGGGUAAAAAUGAAAUAUACAUUUAC